rnacentral:rRNA from 1 species
GUGGGGAAUAUUGGACAAUGGGGGGAACCCUGAUCCAGCCAUGCCGCGUGGAGGAAGACUGCCCUCUGGGUUGUAAACUCCUUUUAUAUGGGAAGAACCGUCCUCAUUAAUGAGUGACCUGACGGUACCAUAGGAAUAAGCACCGGCUAACUCCGUGCCAGCAGCCGCGGUAAUACGGAGGGUGCAAGCGUUAUCCGGAUUCACUGGGUUUAAAGGGUGCGUAGGCGGAUAAAUAAGUAAGUGGUGAAAUCAACGGGCUCAACCUGUUAACUGCCAUUGAUACUGUGUAUCUUGAAUAUGAGAGAGGUAGGCGGAAUGUUGCAUGUAGCGGUGAAAUGCUUAGAUAUGCUACGGAACACCGAUUGCGAAGGCAGCUUACUAUUUCGUAAUUGACGCUGAGGCACGAAAGCGUGGGUAGCGAACAGGAUUAGAUACCCCAGUAGUCC